UCCACGUUCCCAUCCACGAGCUCAUCCCGAGCAACCCAGAAGUUUCCACGGACGCGCAAAUACCUCCGGGGCGCCGCGUUGCCGACCUGCCGGCCGCCCACCCGUAUCCAAUCCGACCCGGUCACCAAUCCCAGCUCCUUCCGAUUUCCGCCGCCCACCCGAUCCCGUUCCGUCCCCACCUCGCGCAUCGCGGCUUGCCUAAACCAGCGGCCACGCCACCGCGACGGCCGACGGGCCGACGACGCAGCCGUGUCCGGUGAGGAUUCCGCUGGCGCCUGCUCGCCCACCGGCUCGCUCCGGCUAUAAAAUGCCCCCAGGCGCGCCCUCUCCUCCCGCGCUCUGGCCCCGCUCCUUUCUCUCCGUCUCGGUGGUCUGCGCCUCGCCCUCGCCUUCAUCGCGAUUGCGAAGCUCUCCCUCCCGUUUCUUCUGCCGUCCUCCGAUUCCGUUCGAUCGAUUCGCCUAGUCCCGAAUUGAUGUUUGCUCCUCGUGGCCUCUGUUUUCCUGUUCUCGCAGAUUCCUAGGCUUCCGUCUUUUGCGACUCUCGGCGAGGGAUCGGGAGUUCAGGAUUCGGUCGCUGUCUCUGAUCGACCGAGUUUACAUCGGGUUUGCGAUCUAUUCUCUUCCUGAGAGUGAUUCUUGCUUCUAAUUUGGACCGCGCUGCUGUUUCCGUCGUCGGUUGCAGGAUUGGCCAUACAUAUUUUAGUUUUUGAAUUGAAUCGAAUCGGAGCUCCGCGCGGCGAGGCCCGGAAGUGUGGUCGAAGCAGGUCAGUUUCUCGUGCUCGGUCGGGUCGGUUCACUGGUUUCGUCACCCUGCGAUCGGUGGUUUCAGAUUUCAAACUCAAUCCAACGGAUUCUGGAGAGAUGGAUCGAAGCGUGCAGUGGACGAGGUUUGCUCUGCUAUGUCCACGGUCGUUUCGAUUGGUUAUUGGUAAACUAUGUUGGUAUGGUCAGAUCUCCCGAGGUGGUGCUAGAUUCAUGAAGCGGAUAGGAUUGCUCAUCGUAGGAUCGGAGCCCUGACUGGGAUUUGUGUUUGGAUAUUCUCCUCCCCUCCUCGACUUAGUUCUCUUGGUUUGCACUAAUAUCCGUCAAUUCUUACUUGGGAACUAUUGGUGAUUCUCCAGAGCUUAAGUUUUUAAGGAUCAGAAUAGAAGACCACCCUAGGAUUCGGAAGCUUCUGUUCUGCGUUUGGAUAAUCAGCCCCUCUCAUACUCAACCUUCCUUCCCUGUAUUUUGAAAUAUCAGUCAAUUCUGACUUGACUUUUCUGGCUCUCCAGAAAUUAAAAUACAAGGAUUGGACCGGUGAUCAUAGGAUUGGGGAACUUCCGUUCUGCCUAUGGAUAAUCAGCCCUCAAACUCAACUUCUUUCUCUCUAGUUUGAUUGUGUUCAUGGCUAUUCUGAUUUGGAUUUUUACUGCUCUCCAGAAAUUGGAAUUAUACAUACAUCUUAGUUGGAAGCCCGGGAGGUCUAUUUUGGUUCAGCAUGCUAAGCUGGUUCCUUAUUGGACAUUACUUUUCAUCAUAAUACUUAGUUCUUCGAGAACACAUCAGCUUUCUCCCUUGUCAGUAACCUUAAGCUCUUGCAGAUAUGGCCAUGGAAGAUAAUUUGCAGUUUCCAACUGCAGUCAUCAUCUGCCUGAUGCCUGCCUAUGCCUGAUUCACCGAUCACCCUCAGCGUUUGAUGCAUACUUUUGAUUUUCUUAAGCUCUAGCCCCUUAACUGAAAAUUUAUAGGAUGGUCUCUUGCUCGUUGCAGCUUCUAGUUGCCAAAUCAAGUCUGACCCGAUGCUGAGUACAACCUGUUUGAGGAUAUUUUAAAAUCUACUCAACUUUUCAAUUUAUCAUAACUUCCAUAGCGACAAAAUCAUCUUACCGAACAAUUUUUGAACAUUCAGAUAGAUCUGCACUCUGAGGAUGAUCUGGAGCUUCAGACUAACACCAUCCUACAACUGAGAAAACACCCUGCUCUCUAUCUCGUUUUCUUUCGCUCUUUAUUUAGAGUCCAUCUGAUUGUUUAUUCUGUUAGCCGAUGUUCAUAGCUUUGAUUAAGGUUUAUUGUUUCUGACCAACAUGUUGCAGAUCCUUUUUACCCCAGACAUGCCUGCUAGCUUGGCAGUGGACUUAAAUCUGUGAAAUAGUUUGGUUUGCUCUCUAUCUCAUUGUAUUUUGAUUCGUUAUAUGUAAUCCCGAUCAUGUUCUGUAUAAGUCUGCUAUGCGCCGCUAUGCGUCUCGGCUGCAGGAUAUAAGUGGGGAGUUGGACCAACCUGGGUUUUGUAAGUGGAGUAAGGUUAAUGUUCCGGGCAGUAUUUUCGGUUCAUUUGUGUUCCGCCUCGACCUGGUUGCAGGAGUGUGAUCUUGUCUGGAACUAGAGAUUAGUCGUCACAUGGCAAGAACCUGAAGAGGUCAGUUUCCCAUGCUCCGUCAGAUGAGUUUGUUGGUUGUGUUACUUGCUUUCGGUGAUUAUAGAUGAAUAUAGAUUAGCCGUGUAAUGCUCUGGAUUCCCUGGCGUUAUCUUCUGAUGGUUGGUCAUGUCCCUUGAUCUGAGGUUGAUUCGAGGCCCUGCGUUGAUUAUGUUAUUGUAACAACUGAUCUCGCUUCUGGUAUUUGUUUGUGCUCCUUGAGAUGCGCAGUAGGACAAUGGCUGUUGAUAGAUGAAUUGGAGGAUGGAGGUUUGCUUGCUGCUCAAUGUCUAAUUUGGUUUGUUAUGGUUCAAUGGUUAUUUUGGUUUGGUCAGAUACUCUUGAGCUGAAGUUCUGUGGUUGAAACUGGAUUGGAUAUGUGAUAAUUCGUAUCAGAAAACUUUUGAUCUCUGUUUGGAAUCAUCAACUCUCCUCAAUUUAAUAUUUUUGUCUGCGCAGAUCAAUUUUAGUGCAAACUAAGUCUUAUUUGGAUCAUUGGUUGUUCUCCAGAAUUGGAAUAUUAUGUGCGGCUGGGCGGGAUUUCCUAUUUUACUUUUCGUGACCUCAACAUCCUAUCAAACUCCAUAACUAUUUUAUUGUCCAAACAUAAUUUUCUCUUCCUUUGGUGGUAAUUCUAUGUUUUUGCAGACAUCCAUUUGAACGUUUCAAACCGGUGUACCUGAUUUCUCUUAGUCUAAGCUGAGCGAGGCUUACCCCUAUCCCUCGGGCUUUGGAUAAUCAACCCCACUCCAUUAAUUUAUACUAGCUAUUAAGUACAGUUAGUUUCUGUCUGAUUUUGUUUUGUUGGUGGUUUCCCGGAAUCCAGAAUUAUACCGCUUAGCGGGACAUGGAGGACUCCACCUUGCGGACUUACCUUCUUGCUGAUCUACGUCUGGAUAAUCGACCUCCCUAGAUUAAAAAUUUCCAUCUCAGUUAAAUUUUAGUCUCCCACAUUCCAGAUUUCUGAUUUGGAGUUAUUUGAUGAUUUCCAGAAAUUGCUAUUGGCGGGUGCUCCUUUUUUCCCUAGCAUGAUGGUUCCUUGUUUAGUCACUCUACCGUCUUGCCUUGUUUUAAAAUUGAACUUUGCAGACACUAGUUUUCUGUGCCUUACUCGAUAAAUCCUCAGCUCUUGCAGAUACUAAUUCAGAAGUGAUGAAUUGCAAUUUGGAGCCGGUGUUGUGUAGCUGAACCUUACCACCCGAGACAGGCUUACCCUUUUCCCCCUCAUAAUCAUCAUUUUAUGCAUGCUUUAGCCUUUUUUUUAAUGAAAACUUUAGGGAAAUUCCUCUUGCUCCUAGAUUAUUAGGUGACAGAGUUCAAAUCGACAUGUUACUAGGUUUUAAUCUGUUUAUUAGAGCUUAAUAUACUAUCUUUUCAGUUCAUCAUAACAUAGAUAACUUAUCUUACAUGCGGUAAUAUGUUCUAAAUUCAGAUUGGUCUCACGAAUCUAAGGAUAAUAAUCUGGAGCUUAAAAUGAUUGGCACAUCCUACAACCGAUUAAGACUUGAUCUCUUACACUCCUUAUUUCAAGCCACUAACUUAUUCUCUGUCUUUAUGUUAUUUAACUGCUUGUCCAUCUAUAUCUUUGAUUUAGGUUUUGCUUCUACCCUUCCUAUGGUUGUAGAUUUAUUUUCAUUGAGGCCAUGCUGGUAGUGACUGGAAAUCAAUUAAAUCGUUUGGUUUGCAAUCUAUCGUCCAUCUUCUAUUAGAUUCAUUUUCUGUCUUUCCAUGUGCUUUUGGUCGUCUGUGUGUGUUGCCUACAGGAUAUAAUUAGGAGUUGGAUUACCCCUUAGUACAAAAAAAAAUUUACUCUCUGCGUGGAGCUAGGUCAGUGUUUCAUGGAUGUCUGUUAGGUUCAUUUUGUGUCCGCAUCAGUGAGUUGGCUGCAGGACUCUGGAUCUGGUCCAGAACUUGAGCUCCCUACGACAAUGGGGACUUGGGAAGGUCAGUUUCCAAUGCCCUCUACCGCAAAGGUGAUGGUUGUGAUGAGAUGAAUGGAACGGUUGAGGUUUGCUUUCUGUUCGUGGUUAUCUUUAUUGGUUAUGACUCGGUGCUUAUUUGAUGGUUGGAACUUGUGAGCUUCUGGAUUCAUGGGAUGGGAACUAGAGAAGUUACAUAUUGUGUUGGGAUAAUCGGUCCUUCUGAAUAUAACUUAUUUCUCAAUUCAGUGUACACCAAUUCCAAUUUUGAAAUGGAUUGUUGGUUCUCCAGAUAUUGGACUUGCACAACUUAGCGAAGGUGCCCUAUUUUGCUUCAUCAUGUUAUCGGUGGUUCCUUUUUGUGACUUGAAUAAACUUUAGCGACUUUCUUUGAUAAUUAACUUCCUAGUUAUGGCUUUGGCCCCUUCAUCCGUAAUUAUGUGCUCUCGCGGAUAUGGAAACGGAGGAUAUCAUUCUGGAACCAAGGGCAUCUAUCUCUCAGCCAAGCAAGCUAAUCCUAUCCCCUCAAUCAAUAUUUUAUGCAUGAACACAAAAUAUACAGUAAUGUCUUAGGUCAAAUCUGAUGUUGUGUUACAUUUGUUUGGAGAUGUUCUGAACCUACAACCUUAUCAAUUCACAAAAAUUGUUAAACUUACAAAAUUAUCCAAGUAUCUCACGGAGAGGCAAUAUUUGGACAUUCAGAUUGAUUUGCGGAGGUACAACGAUUUUGAGGAUGCUUUGGAGCUUCAGUUAGAUGGUUUGCAAUCUAUCUCGCUGUGGUUGAAUUUGUUAUCUGUACGCUUCAUUCAUCCCUGUGCUUCUGCUGCUGAACGUGUCAUUUGCAGUAUAUGUUUUGGAUUGUUGGACCUGCAGUGGUUAAACCCCCCUGUAUGUGGAGUCACGUCAGUGUAUUAGUUUGUCUGUUUGUUUUAUUGGUUUGGCUCAACCCAUCAGCUUCAGAGAUUUUCUAGAAUUGAACUGCUCUCCGCAAAAUUUGCUCUAUCCCGUUCUCCGAUGGCAAAUCAUUGUAAUUGAAGGUGCUUUUCGAACCCUGGAUUGGGCUGCGCUGAUAGAUUUGACCUUGUUUGUGAUAUGUGCAUAUGCUCCUCUAGCUAUAAGACUGGUGUUGGAGAUUGGAUUGAAGGGUAGAGGUUUUGGUUAUAAGUUAAUGCUGAUUCUUUAGAUGAUGUCAUAAUUUUAUGAUGUUAAUUUAUUGGUUUUGGGUAACACCCUUGUCGGAAUUGUGGGUCAGACCUGCAUGGUUGAGGAUUUGAAGGUGUGUCAUGAAGCUUGAGUGGACUGUAGAUCACAUAACUGGAAGAAGUCUGCAAUGCUUUGUUUGGGUAUUGCUUCCGUUGAAGUUCCCUUUUUAAUACAGAUUGCUCUUCUGGUUGAUUUCACCCCGAAGUGCAUUUGUAUGGUAAAUGAUUACAGAGUAUUUUUGGAUGUCGAUCUGAUAUGCAUUGUGGAUGCAACGUGUUGGAGAUUCUUAGUGCAAGGAGAAUUGGAAGGUCUAGCGAAACAUUGGUUAACAGGGGUCUUUUUGUGAAGCUUCAAGCCAUCAACUGUGUUUGCUUCCCCAACUGUCCUGCCUUCUAAUCAAAAAAUCUUGAAGCAUAGUAUUUCUUGAUUUGGUCGUUUGCGGCAGCUUACAGUUUCAACUUGCAUUCAAUGGGUUAUCUCUUCGGUACAGCUUGCAGUCUUUAAUUGCGUGCACAUCUCUGGAUCUUCUGAUUAGUGAUCUUGAAGCUUGUUAUUGAACUCUAUUGUGUUCCAACUUUGUUUGGAUAGGGAUGGGGAGCGGUCACUUAGAAGCCUUGGUUACUUUGUUACAUGUUAGUUUCUGGAAGUUGAGUUUCAUGCCAAUAUCUUAAGUUUUAUCAAUGCACUCAGAUGUGUUUUGUUUCUCUAGCAGUAGGUCGCAGAUUUGUGAAAUAUAAGAUUGCAUUGCAUGUACAUGAGGCUUCAAAGGCAGUAAAAGAUCCUUACAGUUGUAUAUACUUGAAUUAUUUUGAGUUCAUGUCUGGAUUUGCUGGUUUUAUUGUUAA